CCAUUCUCCCCGUUCAAUAUUUAGCAGUUUAACCCAGCCGCAUCCUCUGGUGGGGGCGCCGAUGGUGGCCGUGGUCAGGCUCCAGUGUUGGAAUACAGGGUGCAGGAAGGUGGUGGCGGAGCUUGGAGUGCCGGGCAAAGCCCCAGCAGGGCUGCACAGACAAAGGAAGGUGCCCGUGUGUGAGCACACGGGCCUGGGCUGCACACGGGAGAGAGUUGUGUAGUUCAGGGUGGUGGUUACCUACUGAAAAGUGCUUGUCACCAUGGUGACCAAGCAAUGCCGCAUCUUCCUGGGAACGGAUAGCAACAGUCCCAGAGCUUUGCUGUGUGAGACUAGUGGGUUCAAUGCAGCUGGCUUCACCUUUUGAAGCCAGGGAUCACAAUCUGCGUUCAAUCUGUAUAUAUGCCUAUGAUGCAAAUUGGUUGGAACAGCCUGACGCCAACCCAGUGACUAUAUGUAUACAAGAAGGACACCAGGAAUGUGUGCUGGUGUCCACUACAGGCUGUGUCUUCCUAAAAGAACUGUACAAAAGUGUUCACAGGAGCCCAAAGUGCACUAGGGCAGGAGGGCAGAGGUGGCAAAGCUAUUUUCUGUCUGGUAUGUUGAAUAGUAAACUCAGUUUUAUCUGAAGAUUAAGCUGUGUUGGUGUCAUCAGGACUGAGACUCACCAAGUUUUAGCUAAGGGCCUUCAGGAAGAUAAAAUAUUGAAAUAUAUGUUUUAGGUAGUUAUAAAUGCAUCCAGUGUAUAUUUUCAUAUCAGGAGGGGAGGGGAGGGGAGUGGGGAAGGAAGGGAGGAAGGAAGGGAGGAAGGAAGGAAGGAAUGGAUUCAUCCUUAUUGGAGUGUCCUUAGGAUCAUGGAGAAUGAAGCUUGGCUGAUGGAGAAUUUUUUUCCAGAUGAGAGGGACUUUUGAAUCUGCAACUGCUUGCACUUCAGAAGAAAAUGCCCAUUAGGAGGUGAAAAACACCACUCCUGUCUGAGCUCCUCACAGUGUGUCCAGCUGGGUGAGGCAGUGCUGUGCCGUGGGCACUUGAGCACGCCCCAAAUGAGCUGAGGUGUGUGUGCGUAUCCAGGCAGAGGCAUGAUCCUCAGAAGAAAAUUACCCAUAUUAGCAUAGGGUGACAUUGAGGUUAAUCUCCCCCAUUUCUGAGCAGAAUUUGAUGGGUCUCCAAGCACAUGUGGUUAUAUUGUUUCCAGCUCUGUAGUUAUUUGGGACAUAACUGCCCAUGACCAGCUCCAGGGAAAGUAGGCAGUAGCUGCAUGAGGUGCUGAAGCACCACCAACCCUCCUGUCAGCUCUGCCAAAGGUGGCUUGGCAACACCCCUUAUGAAAGGGCUGAGUUGGGUACAACAACAUUUAUGGCUGAGGCUAAUGGUCUCUCAGAAACAUCCUUUUUGCUUUUAUUUCCUUACUUCUAGAGUCUUGAGAGAUACAAUUCCAGUUCCAGUUUCUUUCUGCCUUCUUUCCCAAUCCCUUUUCUUUCUUUUUCCUCAUCCAUCACAGGAACAGUGCAGUGGAAAUCUCCGCAUCAAAACUGAAGUUUGCCUUCACUCCUCAGAAUCCACCAGCCACCUCUGACACUGCCUUGGGGGAUCUCUCCUUGGUGUAACCACAUCCUUUGAGAUCACUCAGCUCAGGAAACAGAUACCUGGAGAAGGCAAGUGAAGUUGUCCAAAAUUGCCUGGUAAACUGGUGGUAAAACAAGUAGGAAACCUGCUGCCUCACACUGCCAAACGGAGUUCACUUGUUAUACACAGGGGAAUGGAACAUAAGGCUGCUGUCUUCCUCUCAGUCCUUCUGAGCUAAAGGAGAAAGCUCUCUCUGAGGCUGUGGAUACUGAGGUGUCCUAUGCCAGGAUGGCAGAUGCCUGCGCUGUGUGGGUCCCACGCCUUGUGAGGAUCAUUGUCCAGACAGCAUGUCUCACUUUGCAACUGCUCUGAAGUAUUCCUUCCUCACGUGGAAUGGCAAAUGGUGGGGAGGUAACUAGAUUGAUCUCCCUUGCAGGCCUUUUCCUGGGACGUGGUACACAGGUUCCAGAUGGUACAAAGCCCCUGCUGCUUGGAUCUGCACAAAAACCUGUGUCUUCUUCAACCUAUUUCACAACAGAUUUGGCGUGCUCUUGGUCGGUUGCUAUUUGUACAAAUUAAGCUGAGCUGCCAGGGACGUUUGCAAACAGUGAAAAGCAAAGUGGGAUGUAUGAAGCAAGUCAAAAUAGGUCUCAAAUCUGGCAAAAUGCCUGCAGGUGCUUAUAACAUUUGACUUACUCUAGCCCAUGUAUUACCCACCCACACAGUCAUUCAUCCAGCUUUUUCCUGCCCUCACGCCCACACACACUCACCCUUCGCAAAUUCAUACACCUUCUCUUCUCCCCCCCAUUUUCUCUUCCAAACACAGUCAUUCCCCCACACAAAUAUACCCUAGACACACUCUUUGUUCCCCACAUACAAGCACACACACAUUUUUGAUUGAGUGCUGAGUGCAGUGACUGUAGGUGGUGUGUAGCAGACGAUGCUGUAAUCUUAUACCUAUGCUGUGAAAAAGCCUUUGGGAUUAGCGAGCCGAGAGCUCUGAUUGUUCUCACUUUCACUUAAAUACCACUAAUCCAGUUUAUGGGGCUGACUGUUUCCGUUCUUUCCUGAACUCUGCCAUUGUUUUCCAGGGGAUCUCUCUUUCUGCUCAUCUUCCUCUUGCUCCACUUUGCCUCUUUCUCCCUAUGCUUUUCCUUUUCCAUGUUGCUGCCCUAGACCACGGUGUUUCAGAGAGCUUGCCCAUCCCCAUAUCUCUCCAUGACCUAACACUGGCCCUGAUUACCUCACUGAGAGGAUGAGCAGGGAUGAGCAAUGAGCCUGCCAUGCAGCGUGGGGCACAGGGCAAGAAAUCCUGCAAGGUAUGGUGAGGUCAGAGGCAGAGACGGUAAGUGGUGGGGUGGAUCUUGCUGCCAUCCAAGCAGCGCUGAGUCCGCCUGGCAUCGAGCCUGCCUCUAAUGGAAUGUGACCCACCGCUGGGAAUGAGCUCAUCUGUAAUCCACUUAAUUGAGUUUUAUGAGCAGGAUUCUCACAUCGGGGAGCCAGCCUGCCUUCUUCCUAGCACUCACCCUUCUUUCCUUGCUGCCUGGGGAGGAGAAGGGGAGUGGGGGGUGUGUGCACUACUCCACUGAGCUAGUGAUAGUCUAGCUUCUGAUUUUCUGCCUGCCCUGGAGAAUGUGCAGGGAGCUGGACAGGCAUGCUCUUCAAGACACCCACUGCCUCAUGGUGUAAUGUUUGAUUCUGCUGCAGGAUGUUUAAAUGUCCAUGUGACUAUUGGUAAUGCUGUCAGGACUGCAGAGCCUUAAGUUUUCCCAGCAUUUUGGUCUCUGUGCAAGUACUGGGUACUCAGAGGAGAUGCUUUCAGGUAUGCAUGAGCCACCUUAACUAUGAGUCCAAGUAUGAUGAGACAGUCACUCUGACCUCACUCCUCCUUUCAAUGUGCAGUAAUCUAAGUGGUGGAGCUGCCAGGAUCCUGUAAGAGCCUUUGUUUACACUGUAAUGUCUUACCAUCUUUGGCAUUUGCAUCAUAAUUUGUUUGUACUAAGUGAAUUGGUCACAUAAGAAUCAGCUAACAGAAAUUUGUCUGCUGUCUGCUAGGGGAUUUGCAGGCUUGAGUCUGUCUGGUGAAAGAUGCAGACUUUUCUCUUGGUAAAGCAGAACAAAGGGAGAAAGAAAAAGUGAGGGAGGGAGGCUUCUCCCCACGGGAGUGUUACUUUCCUUGGAAAAGCCUAGUAGAGACCUCUGGCAUACAAAAUUUGGGAUAUAUUCCCUUCAGUGCUGGCAUAAAUGUCUGUAUUUGAAAUACAUACUGUCUGUCACUUCUGGUCUACCUUGUAGAAGAAAACUUUUCAUGGUUUCACACCAAGUGUUGCAUACACAUUGCAAAGCAGUAGCUCAGCAGCUCCACAAAUCCGUAACUUUAUGGAAAGGUCAUGGCAUAUGGAAAGGGAAAGAUACUGACAUGUUAACACAAAGCCCGUAACAGACCUGUGCUGGGAACAGCAGGGUCACCACUCUGUAUUCAGGUGUUUCUUAAAAUCCCCAGACAGUGGAUUCAUGUAAAUACAUGAUAAUAAAAGAUCUUAUUUUGGUAA